GCGGGUAUAGUUUAGUGGNAAAA
rnacentral:tRNA from 2 species